rnacentral:rRNA from 1 species
UAGGGAAUUUUCGGCAAUGGAGGAAACUCUGACCGAGCAAUGCCGCGUGAACGAUGAAGGUCUUCGGACUGUAAAGUUCUGUUGUUAGGGAAGAAUAAUACAUCUAGGAAAUGAGAUGUAGAUGACGGUACCUAACCAGAAAGCCACGGCUAACUAUGUGCCAGCAGCCGCGGUAAUACAUAGGUGGCAAGCGUUAUCCGGAAUUAUUGGGCGUAAAGCGUGCGUAGGCGGUUUAUUAAGUCUGGUGUGAAAUAUUACAGCUUAACUGUAAAGGGUCAUUGGAAACUGGUAAACUUGAGUACGGUAGGGGCAAGUGGAAUUCCAAGUGGAGCGGUGGAAUGCGUAGAUAUUUGGAGGAACACCAGUAGCGAAGGCGGCUUGCUGGGCCGGAACUGACGCUGAGGCACGAAAGCGUGGGGAGCAAACAGG